rnacentral:sRNA from 1 species
UAGCAAAAUUAGCCCAAAGAGUAGUGAUCCUGUCGA